UACGUAGGGUGCGAGCGUUAAUCGGAAUUACUGGGCGUAAAGCGCGUGUAGGCGGAUCGCCACGUCGGGCGCUGAAAUCCCUCGGCUCAACCGAGGAACGGGCACCGAUACGAGCGGUCUGGAGGGAGGUAGGGGGGGGCUGGAACUUCCGGUGGAGCGGUGAAAUGUGUUGAUAUCGGAAGGAACGCCGGUGGCGAAAGCGACACACUGGGUCUCAACUGACGCUGAGGCACGAAAGCCAGGGGAGCGAACGGGG
rnacentral:rRNA from 1 species